rnacentral:lncRNA from 1 species
UUGUCUGAAGAAUUUCAUUAGGAUUUUUUAAAGUUGGUAUGAGGAUGAAAUGCUUCAUGGGUUCCUUCAGAAAAAGAUGUAAUAAAGUACAUAAAUGGCCCCAGUGUCAGUUCUUUAUGCUUUGAGAACAUGAGCAGUUUUCUCUUAAAUACCAGAUUCAGAUGUUUCUGCUACGAGAUCUCUCUGCUUUUUGGCUUUCUCAGACAGGCAGCCAGAUACAGCUCAGGUGUCCUGUUAAAUCGUUCUGCUUGCUGCAGUUCUUUGCAGAAGUGCCUGUCUGCUAGAGGAAGCAGGAAGAACAGGACAUAGCACUGACGCUGCAGUGAAAUGGUAAAUUAGGAAGGAACCUGGUGAAACGUGCUCAAAAGAAACCUCAGAUAUCUCUAGCAUUAAAUUCAACAUCAUCUGUCAAACUUGGAUCAAAGCCCCAUUAGCCUUCCAGGCUCACACUCCCUCUGAAAAGGAGCUGCAAGUACAUAAAUAUAUAUCCAGCAGCAGACACAAAGCUGUAGCUCCUAUUUUUUCCAUCCCUACUGAUCCAAAUCAUCUUGGCUACAGAAACAGUCCCAGUUUGUCACAGAAGGUGACAGGGCAGUCACCUGAGCACAGAAUGUGAACACGCCAGCAUCUUACCUUUGUACUAAAUACAGGAGCCAGAACAUUAAAGUAUUAAAACCAAGAUCUUCCCCACUGGUGCAUUAUCUACCAACUCUCAGAAGCUGAGCAAGGUCCUCAGGGUUUGACACAUUAUUAUUGCACAUUUUUCCCUGCUUGCGUUUCUGCAUUUUCAUUUGGAAACUGACGAGUCGUUCCUUUUCCUGCUCCCCGGCUGAGCUGGGAAUUAGCACGCUUUUGCUUAUUUGUUAUGCAGUAUAGUCCAAAAUUAGCUUGUAGGAAUUAGAUCAUACCAUUACAAAAAACCACCAACCAAACAAAAACCAGAAAGUACUUAUGAAACAGACACCUUAUACACACACACAAAAGUAGGUAGUAAAACUCAGUAAAAUUAUCAGCCUAAACAUGUACUGCCCUCCCGAGACAUCAACUAAACAUAAUGCGAAGCUACUGUGUAAGUGAGGUCUUAGCAUACUGACUGCAUAUUCUCUGUGGUCACGUGAAUGGUACAAGGACAUUCAUCAUUAACUUUUACUGGGAUUUUCCACACAAAACCAAGCAGCAAAUAGGAAAAAAAAAAAAAAGAUA